UUUGCCAGUUAAGUGGAGAUAAAGAGUCUCAUGGAGCAGGGUGCAGGCAGCUCACGCCUGUUACCCCAGCUGCUCAGGAGGAUGAGAUCUGGGGACCACUGUUCAGAGCCAGCUUGAGCAGGAAACGUCCAUGACACUCUUAUUUCUAAUUAGCCAGCAAAAAGCUGGAAGUGGAGCUGGGG